rnacentral:lncRNA from 1 species
CUUGCAACCCCCGAAAAUGUACCAAGGAAAAGCUAGCAAGCACCUUCUCUAUUUUGGGCAUCAACACCAAGGACACAGUGCAGGGCAGCCUGCUUGGCCUCUGGGUAGAGAAAGGCCAGCCCCUGCAGAAAGCCCUUCUUCAUCCUGACAGCACAGCAGUGCUCUACGCUUCCUUGCACAGAAACUCAUAAGAUGCUUGUGGCUGGUGAGAAAACAACACUGAAACAUUUCAGCUCCUCAAAUGCUAAGGCCUCGGUGCCACCUCCUUGGGCAUUACACAAACAACAGAACAUAACUAGGACAAUGGGACACAGAAAGGGAAGAACCUGAAAUGGUGUGUACCAAGGAGGCAAGGAUACAGGCAGAACCUGGUGAAACAGCCAAGGGACAAGUUUGCAGGGCGGGAGGGAAGGGCUGGCGGGGAAAGAGUGGGUCAGGUGAUCCACCCUCCUUGGCCUCCCAUAGUGCUGGGAUUACAGGUGUGAGCCACCAUGUCCGGCCUAUUUUCCACAUUUUCUAAAAUGUAUGAGUUUUUCAUUUACAACUUGCUUUGAAUUAACACUUCAUGAGACAUUAAUACUUGAAUUAACACUUUUGUAGAUAUUCUGAUGAGCGGAAGUUUUUUUGUUUUUUGUUUUUUGUUUUGAGACAGAGUCUCGCUCUAUUGCCCAGGCUGGAGUGCAGCAGUGCGAUCUUGGCUCACUGCAACCUCCGCCUCCCGGGUUCAAGCUAUUCUCCUGCCUCAACCUCCCAAGUAGCUGGGACUACAGGCAUGUGCCACUACACCUGGCUAAUUUUUUUUGUAUCUUUAGUAGAGAUGGGGCUUUACCAUGUUGGCCAGGCUGGUCUCGAUUUCCUGACCUUGUGAUCUGCCUGCCUUGGCCUCCCAAAGUGCUGGGAUUACAGGCGUGAGCCACCGUGCCUGGCCAAGAGGAAGUUUUUUUAAAUUCUGAGGUUCUAGUCAGAGUUCAGCCCUAGAAAAAGUGGAGGACUAUGACUCAGUCCAUGUUCAGGAGUCAGCAGGGCCAAGUGGACUUUCUCCUGGCUGCUCUCAUAGACUCCAGGACUGGCCUCUCCUUAUGGGUGGGGCUGGCUCAUGCCCAGUCUAGCAAUUCCUCCUUGUGGAACAGACUCAGGGGAAAUGUCAUAGGAGAGACUCCCCUCCCCAGUAGGACUCUGACAAACACCCACUCCCACAGGCCCAGCCCUGGCAACAACCCCUUCCCAGGAAGGACAGGGGAGAGUCUCCACCUCUUACCUGGAUCAAAUCUCACCACCAGGAGACAGAGGAUCAAGGCAGCCAGGAGACUCUUUUUGAAGGGCAGAGAAAAGAAGUGGCUCACCGCAGAGUCCCAAAGCUGGCGAACCAACAUCGGUAGUGACAGGAACUUGUGGGAGACAGAGCCUGGCCAGGGAGACAGAGCACAGCUUCAGGGAUGUCAUGGGAAUCAGCUUCCCUGACCCCGACCUCUGUGCUUGCUUCUAAGACCUGAGCAGGCCAGGCGCAGUGGCUCAUGCCUGUAAUCCCAGCACUUUGGGAGGCUGAGGCAGGUGGAUCACAAGGUCAGGAGAUCGAGACCAUCCUGGCUAACAUGGUGAAACCCCGUCUCUACUAAAAAUACAAAAAUUAGCCAGGCGUGGUGGUGUGCGCCUGUAGUCCCAGCUACUUGGGAGCCUGAGGCACGAGAAUCACUUGAAUCUGGGACAGAGGACUCCAAUGGGAAAAUGACUUUCAAAAGACAAGUCAAGGUCCCAAGACCCAGCAACACCUUCCCAUGUGGAGAUUCUCCUUCCACUGCCAACUUCAGAGGGUCUGGCCUUCACUUUGUGAAGCAAAUCAACAGGCCUCCUAUUCUGUGACUCAAGAGUUAUUCAUACAAAGAACUGCUUCUAAGCUCGCAGGAGUUUCACGACAGACCCCGAGGUACAGUGCAAGCCCGCAAGUCCACUUUACAGAGGUCGCAGAGGGAUAAUGUCCUACCUUCCAGGUUUGGCUUCUGGGCCUCCUCAGAGCCUGAGUGUUCCUGUUUCUGCUGCUGCCUCGCUGUGUGAAUGGCCUGAAGUACAUCCAGUCGCCGCUCCUCACCAAAGGCUGCAGAGCCCACCACUAGCUCCUCAGCCUCCGAUAAGCAGCCCAGAGGCAGCAGCACCCGCUGCACGUGAAAUUCUGCCAAGGCUCCAUAUUCUGGAAGGUUUUGAUUGGCUGGGUCUUGGAGCCAGGCACCCAC